UUUUUCCUCUUUUUCGCAGACAGCUUUCCCCGGAGCUGGCUCCCCCCACUGGCGCCCGGCUGUGGUCGCCCCAUCCUCCCCAUCCUGGCCUGGGCUCGCUGACUGGUGUCCCCCCCACCACCCCCGGCAGAGAAAGGCGGCGGCCCUUUGCGUGGGGGAACCAGUUUCUCGGAGCGAGGAGAGGAGGAGGAGGAGGGGAGGAGGAGGAGGACACCGCGGCGAUAAACACUUGCGAGGUUUCUCGCUACCCCUAAUGACGUCCUAGGCGUAAGUUGUUCUGCAGCCACUUCACACCAAAGUAUUUCCUCACAGGGCAGGUUCUCCAGCCCUUUGAUCACCUUCGUGGCCUUCCUUUGGAUUCCCUCCAGCCUGUACACUUCUUUCUUGAAUUAUGGGGACCAGAACUGGACACAGUAUUCCAGUUCUUGUUUCACAACAGCUGGGGUUGGGUCAUUACAGUGCACAACAGGUGCUUAUAUACGCUGUCUCGAAGACAAAUGGAUCCAAAAACAUGCCUGAGUGCUUUCCUGAGCCACAGCCAAAAUCUAUAGGUAAUUUAACCCAGCGAAGCAACAGGAACUGCUGUGACGCGGCUCAUCACGCAAGAAUAACACCAUGCUAGAAGGGACAAAAGACAUCCAGAUUCAAGGGUAGUUUGGUCUGGGUUAGACUUUUAUUCUGUCUCACUACCUUACUGCAGAGAAGAAUCCAUAACCGCGGAGUCUGCUUGAUGUCAAACAUGUUUCUAGAACCUUGGAGUGGAUGAGUAGAGCAGGUAAAUUGAUACUCUCUGGACUUGUCUUAACAUCUCGGAUGUAAACUGCUAUCUUCUGGCUUCUGUGAAGUUCUGAUUUAUACCUUUUUCUUCUAUGUAAGUUUGAAAUACCUAAAUGUAGGCAUAGCCCACAAAAGACAGCUCUACGAUGAAGGCAGUGGGAAGCCACAGGUCCACUUGAAAUACUGCCCAUGUAAAUGGAAAAAGAAAAGCUUGAUCUUUUGUUUGAUUUAGAGAAUAAAUGCAUCAUUUAUGGGGCGGGGGGAAGAUUAGAAAGAUAAGGUGGAUUCCCAAAGUGAUUGUCUCUGAUAACUUGCCUUUGGAAAGGAAUUGUGGGGAGAAGUUAAGAUUUGAAGAUGAAAGAUAUGUUUAAAUAUUUUUGGCAAUAUAACUGUAAAAAAAAGUGUACCUGAUUUUGUACCUUGUCAGACUAAACCACGUCUCCUGGGUCUCUCUCUCUUCUGCAGAAUGCAAGAACUCAUUUUAUUUUCACAUAUUAAAUUUGUUGUUAUGUCAAUAGUGCUACAUUUUCUACUAGAAAAAAAAAUGUGAUCAGCAUCAGUAACAAGGAGUACCAUCUGCUACAAAAAUGGAAACGUAUGCCAUAAGACCAUAGGGCAGCCUUUUAAUAAGUGAAAUCUAUUUAUGUAUCAAUAGAUGUUAAUGUAUGCUAGCAGGGUGAGGGAGAGACCCAGACUAUGAAGACUAAAUCCUCAAGAUUUGCACUACUCACUGGUCAGAAUUAGGACACUCAGUUAUUAGACUAUACAUACAAAUUUUCACUUCACUUUAAAGAUGAAAUUAUGUUUCUACCUAAAUCAAUAGCAAAUAAAUUUUCCCUGCCAAAGCUGUAGUGGCCACUGCCAAAUAAAUACUCAGCUGUUACUGGGGGAGUCUUCUUCCACUAACUGCAUCAUCUGUAUUCCCACGCAGCAGUUAGAAGCAGGGUUAUAACCUGUGUGUGUAGAACUGGAAGGCUGCAGAGGUUUGGAAAGGCUGUCACUGGAAACGUUUACUGCCAAUGCCUCCUGCCUCUGCCAUCCUGAAGACUCCAACGUACACAGAACUAGGAGACAAAGUAGUGUUUCUUUCAUUGGUAACAUGUCCCACCGAGAUGUGAAAUUUGGCAGUGGGAAACCUGGAACAGGGAAGAACAAAACAUUUAUUUUCUUCUUUAAGCUGACAAAAGUUGUGUUUGGGUAAAACAUUGUUCAUGUGUUUGAGUUAUUCAAAUGCUGGUGCUCAGUCUUAUUCUUUCAAUAACAGAAUUUGAACGAUUCAGUACAGUUGCAAGUAUAGAUCUAUUUCUAUGCCCUUUUAAAAUUCAUUCAUGAGUACUCAGUGCCAUGACUGUUGACUGAGAGAGUUGGGGCUAUUCAGCCUGGAGAAGAGAAGGCUCCAGAGAGAUCAUCUUGUGGCCUGUGAGUAUAUAAAGGGGACUUCUAAGAAAGGCUGAGAAAGACAUUUUAACAGGGCCUCUAGUGACAAGACAAGGGCCAAUGGUUUUAAGUGAAAGAGGGCCAAUUUAGACUGGACAUAAGGAAGACUUUUUUUUACAAUGAGGGUGGUGAGACACGGAAACAGGUUGCCCAGAGAAGUUGUGAAUGGUCCCUCCCUGGAAAAGUUCAAGGUCAGGUUGGACAGGACUUUGAACCACCAGUGGUGUACCGUAUCUUGCUCAAGUUUUUCUAUAAAUCACAGGUCGCAACAAGUAAUGCUGUGUCAGAAACUUCUCUUUUGGCCUUUUUGCAGUCCUUAUAUUGAGAGACUUUUAAACUUACUUGAUAUGAAGCAUCUCUUUUCUGGUGGGUUUCUCCAUGGAAGAGAAGGACUGUGGUAAAAUGUUUAUUUACACUUUGUAAAUUCUUACACAAAGAAAUUUCAGGACAAUGCAGUCUCUUCAGGAUGCAUUUUUUAGGCUGUACAAAAUAAAUGUGUGGAUUCAGAGAAGAGAAAAUACUGCUGUUAUAUUUUUAAAUUUACUGUGUUACCAAAGUUAUGGGGAAAGAAAAACUUGACUCUCUUGAUCUGAAUGGAUAUGCUGUAGUUUUGUUAGGUAGAAUGUUCUGCGAGACAUCACCUUCUGGAUUGAUUCUUCUCUCUGGAGACUGGUAUUAUGAGCUAACAAAAAACAGCACUCAACAAAUGUUUGUAUACAAGACAGCUUAAAAUUUUAGUGGAAGAUUUAAGACCAGGAGAUAGCUAGUUUUAAUUCAGAAGUCUUUAAAAUUCUCAAUUGCUCUCAGUAUUUCAGAUAGAUAGCAUAUGUAGCAUCCAGAUAAAAAUGCAGCUAAUGCUUUCUUUGUUCUUUCAAAUAUAUCAUUAUAUCAUAGUUUCCACAGAGCAAUUGAACAUGGCAGAGUACUGAAGUAAAGGAUAAAAUAGAUUUUGAAAAGUAGCAUUUAUUUCAAUUCUACCCAUACGUCUGUGUAGACUAACCCAAAUGUAUCCUGACUCAGAUGCAGUAAUUACUGGAAACCUUGGGAUUUUUAACUGAGCCUGUGGUACCACAGCCACAAACUGAUCUUUUCUUGCACCCAUGCAUUGAGAAUACAGAGCUGUUUUUUGACGAUUUACAGUAAAGAUAAAAAAAGUGCUGACAUUUCCAUACACUUGCAUAUAGUUUGUGCAAAAAAGUCUAAAGCAAUUUCCAUCCUCAGAUUAUGUUACAAACCUUGCACUUAAGAAAAGAAAAGAGAUAGUUUUCUAAAAACACAAAUACUCAGGGUGGUCAUUUACACAGAAAAAAAAAUUGCUAAAGUGGCAGUAUUUAGCCUUGUCAGUGACACUGGUAACCUAAUUAACCACAAACUGUAUUAAAAUGCAGCAAUGUGAAACUAUGUUUAUUUCCUUAUAUACUGACAGGUCUGGAAAUGCUGGCAACAAAUACCAGCUUUAAGGAUAGAUUCCAAUAUCUUUUAUUUGCUCUGCAGGCUGUUAAACUCUAUUAGUUUAACAAUUUUUAUCCAAAACUGUUUUUAUCCAACUCUAUUAGUUUAACAGUUUUUAGCCAAAAAAGGAUAUAAAAGGACAGAUGUACCAAUUUUGUGCUUCAUUUAGACAUCAUAAAAUAACAAAAUACUUUUUUUUUACUCCCCUGAGAAGAUGUAAACAGUCACUGACAUUAGUAAACAAAUAUAAGAGAGCCAUAAGGAUGCUUCAUAGUUUUCUGAUCUAGAGUUGGUAUGGAAGGAAUUUAAUUUUUAUUUUUUUUUUAAAAAGGGAAAUAUUUAAUAUUGAAAUUUGUUUGCCAAUUUUUGUAGGCUCUGAUUUGUUUCAGUUAUUGAGUUACACUGAGUAAAGCAGCUCAGCACUGAGUGGACUGAGGGAUGGGCAAAAGCCUGCCAAUUUAUUUCUCAGGUUUCUCUGUAUAACGGGAUAUAAGUCAGUAUAGGUACAGUAUCAAAGUCUGUUUCUCUUGGAGGAUGUGAGACAAAAAUCAAGGAGACUAAUGGAACAUAAAAUGCUCGCUUAUAUUCCUGAGAGAGUUAUCUGUCUUGCUUUCCCUCUCUCAGGCACAUGCAGACAUACAUUACACGAUCUGACCUGUGCUUUCUGGGGCAUAACAUUUACUAGCAUGUACAAGUGAGUAAGCUGGAAGAAAAGUGCAUGCUCUUAGUCAUGUAUUUACAAGCUGUCAGUUCUUCUUUGCACACCUAAUUAAGCAGGACAGAAAGCAAGAACAAGUAAGUCUUAAAUCCUCAGUGCGUUCUCUGGACUGAUCUUAGGGCAGUGUAGCUUUGUACUUGGACAAAGUACAUGCCAGGUGACUGAUUAAAAUAACAACAACAAUAAUAAUAAUAGCUGAAUUUUGGAUUGAAAGUGCUUUAUCUAAUGUGAAAGUAAAUAUUUGGCUUGAUUUUUUUUUGAAAGGAGAAAAUUAAUGAUGUUUCAUUAACACCUUUUUUCCAGCCUUUUAUGGGCCUCUUCCCAGAUAAGACCCUUGAACCAUUUUACAUUAACAUUUUCAUGGACUGUGGACUAUCUUCCUAAAUUCCUAUCUACAAAAGACAUUUUCUGAAACAUUUGUAGUCACAGUUCAGCCUGAGAUGUAAAGAGAUGUUGGAUUAAUACAUUUUGACACAAUCUUUACUGUUGAAAACCAUAAGAAAUGAUGAAUUUGGACUGUCAGGGGGAGGAGCAAAAGAAGAAAUUUGAAUCUGUGUGCCUUUUCUGGUCUGCUUGAAACAGCACAGCAACUUAAGACAUUCCUUAAAGAAGUCCAGAAUUGCCUGUCCUUCCUUUGUAGCUCUCUUCAUAGUAUCAGAAUUGAGCAAAGGGACCACCUUAGAGCUAGAAGUAACCAAUAACCAUAAUCACUGUUUCUCACAGUCACAGUCACCUGACAAAACUCUUCAAAAUUACAUGUGACCAAAAAAAAAGUGAAGUCCACACAGUUUUUCUCAAUUACAUCUGUAGUACUUCUGCUUUAAAAUAGUCAAAAGUGCCAUCUGCUGCUACUAACAAUAAUCCCACUACCUCUCUCUCACCACUGGGUAAAAGGGAUUUAUGACGAAGCACUAGCACCUGUGUUUCCAGAAAAACACUGAACUCAGUCUUCAGCUCAUACCAAAGUUAAGUGUGGUCCACUGGUUGGAUUCACCUUUGUUAGGAAUUUGGCCACACACAUGGAUUUUUCUUUGCUUCUAUUAACAUCCAAUUUGAUGACAAGGGUUGUACAUAUUAACAGAAAUAAUCGGAAGACUAACCAUGUUUCUACCGGGCUGUCUUUCAGACAUUAUUUUUACAUAGCAGUAGAUGAGACAGACUGAGAAAUGGAAAUAACCCAUCAAAGGUUCUUUGUAGUCUUCUGUGAAGGCAUCCGAGAACAAGAGGGAAUACUAAUUCCAAUAAAAAAAGAAAAAUGCACAGAAAACCAGCAAAUUUUGAAAGAUUAGAUUCUACUACAGUACUUUCAGCACCUCUAAAAGAAGAGAAAUAUAACUUUUUUCUCGUAAGCAACAGUUACUGAUUUUUGUGAAGCCUGUACUAAGCCAUUAUCCUAAAUUUACAAUGAUAAACUUGAAAUGUAUCUCUAGGAAGGAAAAUCACUUAUCAGACAAGUCUAGGGAAAAAUAUAGCCAGCCAGCUAGAAAUAAUUUCAGUGAGAUGCCUACAGAAUUGAUCUUGCCAUGAAAGAAUAACAGUAUUGAGUACCUGAGCACAGCUGCUCAGCUUCUCUUUUGCUGCUGGUUCUGGUUUAUUCAUAGUAUUCAGGAAACUGCCUGCCAUCUCGUCUGUGAUCUUGCUGGAAUCUCUUCUAUGAGCACACCCACAAAACCCGUACUGUCAGAUGAAGUGUUUUCCUACAUACUCUGGAGUAAUAACCCAGUUAGGGGAGUUCCUUUCUUUUGGUGCCUUCUCUCUUUCAGAAGACAGACUACUUAGUAUUGUUGGCUGAAGUCAUAUGUAACAGUUGUAUUGCCUUUUACUCAGUGAAAAUUUUCCUAAUAAAAAACUAAGCUUUUCAGUACCUGUAGGAGACGGCCUGUAAAUUCCCUGACCUCCAAACCUUCAAUGGAAUGCCUCAAACCCUCACAAGGAAAUAAUAAUGCAGGCCUGACAUUCAAAGAAUUUGUAAGACUCACAGGCACCUAAAAAGCAGUGGGAAGACUGUUUUGUGAAGACAAGAUAGUUCUACCACUUCUGUUAUGAGUCUGUCAGUUCUCUGUUCAAGGCCAUUGUGUCUGAUAAGUGACUUUUCCUCCAUUAUCUGUGAAAUGCAUAUGAAAGUGCACACCCUGCAUAUGCUCAUGAAAAAUAUAGAGAUCAUGCUAAACUUAUAUGACUGUGGCACCCGUGUCUCCGCCCAAAUCAUGUUAGCACAUCACCUGAGAGAACGGAGAAACCUGAGACGAAGGAUGAAGCUGUUCUUGGCAAGGGGAGUGGAUUGUACUAAUUCAGCAAACAUAGAAGGGGAAAAUAAGUGCUCCUUGGCAGAAAAAAAGAACAAAAGAAGACGAUCGUGCCUGGGAAGAUUUUUCCCAAGAAAGAAGACCAUACCUGCGAAGAUUUUUCUCUGAAAAAGGUGCUGGAACCAGGACCUAUGAUAUUUGUAUCUGUGUCUUUUUCUGUAUGUUUUCCUUUCUCUCUCUCUCUUAGUUUCUCUUUCCUCUUGGAGUUAAGUAAUGGUUAGAGUUGUUAAGUGACGACCUUAAGUACCGCUUGCGAUAAGCUGAUGUAUACACAAUGCAGACCACUUGCCAUAAUUUGCCACAUGCCUAACCAAUUAUCAUGGAUUUGUUAAGACAUUUCAGGAAACUAAUAAAUGUUCUAUACAGUCCUUGA